rnacentral:sRNA from 1 species
ACACAGGCCCCUGCCCCUGCCUCAGAGGAUGAAAAGGUCGUUGUUGAACCCCCUGAGGGAGAGGAGAAAGUGGAAAAGGCAGAGGUGAAGGAGAGAACAGAGGAACCUAUGGAGACAGAGCCCAAAGGUAAAGGUGCUGCUGACGUAGAGAAGGUGGAGGAAAAGUCAGCAAUAGAUCUGACCCCUAUUGUGGUAGAAGACAAA